GAUGAAGAACGCAGCGAAAUGCGAUACGUAAUGUGAACUGCAGAAUUCAGUGAAUCAUCGAAUCUUUGAACGCAUAUUGCGCUCUCUGGUAUUCCGGAGAGCAUGCUUGUUUGAGUAUCAGUAAACACCUCAACUCCCUUUUCUUUUUUGAAAUUGGAGCUGGACUUGAGUGAUCCCAACGCUUUCUUCCAAGAAAGUGGCGGGUUGCUUGAAAUGCAGGUGCAGCUGAACUUUUCUCUGAGCUAUAAGCAUAUCUAUUUAGUCUGCCUAAAAAACAGAUUAUUACCUUUGCUGCAGCUAACAUAAAGGAGACUAGUUCUUGUGCUGACUGAUGCAGGAUUCACAGAGACAGCUUCGGCUGACUUUGUAAACUCGAUCUCAAAUCAAGUAAGACUACCCGCUGAACUUAAGCAUAUCAAUAAGCGGAGGA
rnacentral:misc_RNA from 1 species